rnacentral:rRNA from 1 species
GACGAACGCUGGCGGCGUGCCUAAUACAUGCAAGUAGAACGCUGAAGAGAGGAGCUUGCUCUUCUUGGAUGAGUUGCGAACGGGUGAGUAACGCGUAGGUAACCUGCCUUGUAGCGGGGGAUAACUAUUGGAAACGAUAGCUAAUACCGCAUAACAAUGGAUGACACAUGUCAUUUAUUUGAAAGGGGCAAUUGCUCCACUACAAGAUGGACCUGCGUUGUAUUAGCUAGUAGGUGAGGUAACGGCUCACCUAGGCGACGAUACAUAGCCGACCUGAGAGGGUGAUCGGCCACACUGGGACUGAGACACGGCCCAGACUCCUACGGGAGGCAGCAGUAGGGAAUCUUCGGCAAUGGGGGCAACCCUGACCGAGCAACGCCGCGUGAGUGAAGAAGGUUUUCGGAUCGUAAAGCUCUGUUGUAAGUCAAGAACGAGUGUGAGAGUGGAAAGUUCACACUGUGACGGUAGCUUACCAGAAAGGGACGGCUAACUACGUGCCAGCAGCCGCGGUAAUACGUAGGUCCCGAGCGUUGUCCGGAUUUAUUGGGCGUAAAGCGAGCGCAGGCGGUUUGAUAAGUCUGAAGUUAAAGGCUGUGGCUCAACCAUAGUUCGCUUUGGAAACUGUCAAACUUGAGUGCAGAAGGGGAGAGUGGAAUUCCAUGUGUAGCGGUGAAAUGCGUAGAUAUAUGGAGGAACACCGGUGGCGAAAGCGGCUCUCUGGUCUGUAACUGACGCUGAGGCUCGAAAGCGUGGGGAGCGAACAGGAUUAGAUACCCUGGUAGUCCACGCCGUAAACGAUGAGUGCUAGGUGUUGGAUCCUUUCCGGGAUUCAGUGCCGCAGCUAACGCAUUAAGCACUCCGCCUGGGGAGUACGACCGCAAGGUUGAAACUCAAAGGAAUUGACGGGGGCCCGCACAAGCGGUGGAGCAUGUGGUUUAAUUCGAAGCAACGCGAAGAACCUUACCAGGUCUUGACAUCCCGAUGCUAUUUCUAGAGAUAGAAAGUUACUUCGGUACAUCGGUGACAGGUGGUGCAUGGUUGUCGUCAGCUCGUGUCGUGAGAUGUUGGGUUAAGUCCCGCAACGAGCGCAACCCCUAUUGUUAGUUGCCAUCAUUCAGUUGGGCACUCUAGCGAGACUGCCGGUAAUAAACCGGGGGAAGGUGGGGAUGACGUCAAAUCAUCAUGCCCCUUAUGACCUGGGCUACACACGUGCUACAAUGGUUGGUACAACGAGUUGCGAGUCGGUGACGGCAAGCUAAUCUCUUAAAGCCAAUCUCAGUUCGGAUUGUAGGCUGCAACUCGCCUACAUGAAGUCGGAAUCGCUAGUAAUCGCGGAUCAGCACGCCGCGGUGAAUACGUUCCCGGGCCU